rnacentral:rRNA from 1 species
UGUCAGCAGCCGCGGUAAGACGAACCGUACAAACGUUAUUCGGAAUCACUGGGCUUAAAGGGUGCGUAGGCUGCGCGGUAAGUUGGGUGUGAAAGCCCUCGGCUCAACCGAGGAACUGCGGUCAAAACUACCGUGCUGGAGGGAGACAGAGGUGAGCGGAACUCAGGGUGGAGCGGUGAAAUGCGUUGAUAUCCUGAGGAACACCGGUGGCGAAGGCGGCUCACUGGGUCUCUUCUGACGCUGAGGCACGAAAGCCAAGGUAGCAAACGGGAUUAGAUACCCCGGUAGUCUUGGCUGUAAACGAUGAGCACUUGAUUGAAGGGUCCUCCAUAGCCUUUCAGUCGUAGCGAAAGUGUUAAGUGCUCCGCCUGGGGAGUAUGGUCGCAAGGCUGAAACUUAAAUGAAUUGGCGG